AUGACGUGCCAGGAUGGCGCCUUCACGGCGGAGUGCGCCCAUGUCUUCCACCCUCGCUGCGCCUCCGGCGUCCCCGCGUGCCCCUCCUGCUACGCGACGUGGCGCGCCACGCCCACCUUCACGCCGCACCCGCUCGUCUACUCUCCCCUGCAGCCGCAGCCCGGCCGGAUGCCGCUGCCCUUCCACGGCGCCCCGUCGCGGUCCACGUGCGCCGUCUGCAAGGGCGCCUUCGCCGGCGCCACCUUCACCUCUGAGUGCGAGCACACGUUCCACCUCUCGUGCGUCAUGGGGAGCGUCUGCCCGGUCUGCAACACGCGCUGGCCUUACCAGGUCUCUUCGUACCCCACUUUCCACCACUACGCUCCGCCACCGGGGCCGGCGCUGUUCCCUCCCUUCAUGGACCAGCCAUCGCACAUGUAUCUCCCUUACCGCGCCGUGUACGACGACGACGAGCCGGUGGAGCCUCCGGUGCAGGGGGCGCCGCUGGGCGACUGGGAUCUCGUCCAGGACGCGGCCAACGGCGGAGGCAAGCUCGUCCUCGACGCCCACUGUGAGUACCCGACCGUCGCCAGGGGCAAGCCGCACGAUAACUUCGUGGUGCUGGUCCACGCCAAGGCCCCUGGCGCCGUCACCGCAGCGGCGGCGCAGACACGCGCGCCGCUCGACCUGGUAACCGUGCUCGACGUCAGCGGCAGCAUGGCGGGCCAAAAGAUCGCGCUGCUGAAGAAGGCUAUGGAGUUCGUCGUCGACCAGCUCGGCCCUGCGGACCGCCUCAGCGUCGUGGCGUUCUCGACGGCCGCGCAUCGGGUCAUCCCGCUGACGCGCAUGUCGGACGUCGGGAAGGUCAAGGCCAAGGACGCCGUGCAGUUACUCGAGGCUGAAGGUGGAACGAACAUCCUCAAGGGUCUCACCGAGGCUGCCAAAGUGCUCGACGGCCGCCGGCACAAGAACGCCGUGGUCAGCAUCAUCCUUCUCUCGGACGGCCAGGACACGUACAAUCUCGAUCUUGGAGGUUACGGUUACGGCUCAUACCAGACAAAUAACUACCGUGGUCUCGUGCCAAGCUCCUUGCUAAGCGGUGCCGGCCACAGAUCGACGCCGAUACACACGUUCGGCUUCGGCGUCGACCACGACUCGUCAGCCAUGCACACGAUCGCCGAGGAGACCGGCGGCACGUUCUCCUUCAUCGAGGACGAGAAGGUGGUGCAGGACUCGUUCGCGCAGUGCAUCGGCGGGCUUCUAUCCGUGGUCGUGCAGGAGGCGCUGAUCACCGUCAAGUGCGUGCACCCAGUGCGCGUCCGUGCAGUCAAGUCCGGCCGCUACAACACCAGCAUCGACGCGUACGGGCGCUCCGCCUCGGUGGACGUCGGCGAGCUCUACGCGGACGAGGAAAGGCGCUUCCUGCUCCUGGUGGACGUGCCGAGGGCCGGCGCCGCGGACGACGUGACGCGGCUCGUGAAGGUGACCUGCACCUACCGCGACACGGCGACCGGGCAGGUCCUGGACGUGGCCGGCGAGGACGUGGCGGUGCAGAGGCCGGUGGAGCUGGCCAAGGACCAGCAGCCGUCCAUGGACGUGGCUCGGGAAAAUUCCACGUGGAGGCGACGGAGGACAUCGCGGCGGCGCGCGCGGCCGCGGAGCGCGGCGAGUACGCGGAGGCCGCGAGGAUACUGGAGCGCAGGCGGGAGGCGCUUGUGCCCGCGCUGGCCGACGACGCGAGGUGCAAGGCGCUAG
rnacentral:rRNA from 1 species